GCCCCCAGCUUCUCAUCCAGGGCUUCUCACGGGCUGUGCUGUCUCAGGGAGGUCUUGGGUUUCUGGCUAGGCACUGGCAUAAACUUGGCUAAGGACAGUAAAUCGACUCACUAUAGGAAUUUAUUUCAGGACAUUCCAACCAGAAAAAUUAGGAGUGUGUGUGUGAUCUUGGGGUUUAGUGUUGGUUGUUACAACUUUCUUUUCAUGCUUUAAAUUAUUCUAAAACUUAAAAAUAUAUGCGGAAUUACUUUCAGAUAAAAAGAAAUUCGUAAUGAGUAAGCACAGAGGUGAAAGGCGGACGACAGGUUUGAGGGAGCAGCUGUCACGCUGGCGCUCCACACUUCUGGCCUCAGCCAGGCCUGAGGCUCACGAGGAGACAGAACUCAUAAUCAUUUUACAUAAUGCCAAUUGUGAUGUAGGCGUGGAAAAGAAGUCAGUCCCAGCCUAGGCCUCGACUGACACACACAAGGCACUACUCUCCCAGAGGGGUUCAGCAUGGUGCCCUCAGCCGAUCCUAGAGCCAAAGGGCCCAUGGACGAGCGUUGCUCAAUGUCUGCAGAGUGUUCCAGCAAGGUUCCCAGCUCAGACUCCAGCUUUGGAUAAAGAACACUAUUUCUUUAGUUAUUUAGCAAAAUUAAACUUUGUGUUAUCUGCUGCAAGAGCACCAAGGGGGAGAAAUCAGUUAAUUUUUUUUAAAUUUUGAGAUGGAGUCUUGCUAUGAAGUGAUGUGAUCUCGGCUCACUGCAACUUCUGCCUGCUGGGUUCAAGUGAUUCCCUGCCUUAGCCUCCCGAGUAGCUGGGACUCCAGGUGCCUGCCGCCACACUCAGCUAAUUUUUGUUUUGUUUUGUUUUGUUUUGUAAUUUUAGUAGAGACAUGGUUUCACCAUAUUGGCCAGGCUGGUCUCGAACUCCUGACCUCAGGUGAUCCACCUGCCUCGGCCUCCCAAAGUGCUGGGAUUACAGACGUGAGCCACCGAGCCUGGCCAAAUCAGUUAAUUAUAUUAGUAUUUACGUGGUCUUAAGAUCUUAGCUUAAUGAACCAAAUGUGAUUUGUCAAAAUUGACAACUGGGAAGGAAGGCCAAGAAUCUGAAAGAAAGACCAGAGAUUAUGCACAAACUGGAACAGCAGAAGCCAUGAAGCACUCCCGGCCUUCUCUGCUGUUUGUUUCAGUUGGCAAGCUGGCCUCUACCCAACAACUACGAGGGAAGAUUUGCUUUCAACUGAUAAGACAACAGCAACAUUACCACCCAUCCCUGAAGUGAAGCAUGCUUUUCCCAGACCAUUACAGUUGGCCCUCUGUGUACAUGGG
rnacentral:lncRNA from 1 species